AGUGAACGCUGGCGGUAGGCCUAACACAUGCAAGUCGAACGGCAGCACAGUAAGAGCUUGCUCUUACGGGUGGCGAGUGGCGGACGGGUGAGGAAUGCAUCGGUAUCUACUUUUUCGUGGGGGAUAACGUAGGGAAACUUACGCUAAUACCGCAUACGACCUACGGGUGAAAGCAGGGGAUCUUCGGACCUUGCGCGAUUGAAUGAGCCGAUGUCGGAUUAGCUAGUUGGCGGGGUAAAGGCCCACCAAGGCGACGAUCCGUAGCUGGUCUGAGAGGAUGAUCAGCCACACUGGAACUGAGACACGGUCCAGACUCCUACGGGAGGCAGCAGUGGGGAAUAUUGGACAAUGGGCGCAAGCCUGAUCCAGCCAUACCGCGUGGGUGAAGAAGGCCUUCGGGUUGUAAAGCCCUUUUGUUGGGAAAGAAAAGCAGCAGGUUAAUACCCCGCUGUUCUGACGGUACCCAAAGAAUAAGCACCGGCUAACUUCGUG
rnacentral:rRNA from 1 species